GACGAACCGUACGAACGUUAUUCGGAAUCACUGGGCUUAAAGGGUGCGUAGGCUGCGCGGAAAGUUGGGUGUGAAAUCCCUCGGCUCAACCGAGGAACUGCGCCCAAAACUGCCGUGCUCGAGGGAGACAGAGGUGAGCGGAACUUAGGGUGGAGCGGUGAAAUGCGCAGAUAGUCAGGAGGAACACCGAUGGCGAAGGCAGCUCGCUGGGACGGUACUGACGCUGGAGGCGACGAAAGCGUGGGGAGCAAACAGG
rnacentral:rRNA from 1 species